CAUCCAUCCAUCCAUCUAUCAGUUCAUCUGUCUGUCUUUUUUUGCAUCCAUCUGUCGGUCGCCUGUAUGCCUCUCCCUCUAUCUCUUUGUCUGUCUUUCUAUAUAUCUGUCUUACUCUCCUUCAAUCUUUCUAUUGAUGUGUCUGUCUGUUUGGAGUAUGGUUUAAUUUGUUGUCUUAGACUUUGCAUUGCUUUGUUUCUCCUAAUUUAAUUAGUUAAGUAAAGUUAAGUGUUUGUGUGUGUGUGUGUGUGUGUGUUUGUGUGUGUGUGAUAUCAAUGUCUUAAUGCAUCCUGAAGCUGGUGAAAAUGAUCUACAUGCCAUUUUGCAACCUUUAAUUGCAAUUAAACCACAACAGAAGCGAUCAAUGAGAGCCUGCUAACUAUAUCAGCUGUUUGUGUUUGCACACUUUGAGCAUUUUCAUCAUCACAGUCUCCUGUUAAACACCUCCAAACUGUCUUUCUCUUUAUUAUCUCUUGUCUUUCUCGUUCUGUGACUUUUCUCUUUGAAAUGGGUGAGAAUGAGAGCUUUCUCUUUCAGUCUUUUCCUCCGGGACGUGACAGAUGAGCCAGAGGAGGCCGGAGUGGCUGAUUGAUCGUGGGAAGUCUUGUGCAUUCAUCUCUGUCGCUGCCGUUCGGCCGAUGGCCGCCUCUAAACCACACUCUCUCUCUCCAGUGCUAAGCUAAGAGGUUUUCUGGCAAAUCUGAACACAGUUUGAAACAUCACUGAGAUCUCUUCUGAAACUAGUGGUUUUUCAGCAGAAAAACAUCUAAGAAGCAAAUUCCCCAUUUGCUUACUUUUAUCUCUUACUUUUAUCUAUUGAGAUGGCAAAGAGUUUUGUGGCUGUGAUUUAACUAUAUGUUAAAUACUAAACUCU